GAUGAACGCUAGCUACAGGCUUAACACAUGCAAGUCGAGGGGAAACGACAUCGAAAGCUUGCUUUUGAUGGGCGUCGACCGGCGCACGGGUGAGUAACGCGUAUCCAACCUGCCCAUCACUUGGGAAUAACCUUGCGAAAGUAAGACUAAUACCCAAUGAUAUCCCACGAAGGCAUCGGAAUGGGAUUAAAGAUUUAUCGGUGAUGGAUGGGGAUGCGUCUGAUUAGCUUGUUGGCGGGGUAACGGCCCACCAAGGCAACGAUCAGUAGGGGUUCUGAGAGGAAGGUCCCCCACAUUGGAACUGAGACACGGUCCAAACUCCUACGGGAGGCAGCAGUGAGGAAUAUUGGUCAAUGGGCGAGAGCCUGAACCAGCCAAGUAGCGUGCAGGAAGACGGCCCUAUGGGUUGUAAACUGCUUUUAUAAGGGAAUAAAGUGGGUCACGUGUGACUUUUUGCAUGUACCUUAUGAAUAAGGACCGGCUAAUUCCGUGC
rnacentral:rRNA from 1 species